GGCAGCCAUGUCCCAGCUACCACUCUGCACUAGGAAAGAGGAGCUCAAAUCUUUGGGGGUCAGCUAAGCUUUUUUCAUUAAUUCAAGGCAUGUGACCCACGACUGCAUUCUGCUGAUGGCGUAACUACGGGUUGGUCAAGUGAUGAUGUAAACCAGUGCUUUUUAACUGCUUGGGGAAUCAUGAAUCUGAUCAAAUUUAUGGAUCCUCUCCCUAGAAUAACACAGAAGCAUAAUAAGAACACAGUUUUCACUAAAUUUCAGGAACUUCAUGGGUUUUCUGAAGCCCAUCACUGAUAUUAUUUAUUCGAGGCUCACAGAUCUAUAGUCUGGGUACGGUUGACACUAUUUGCCUUGAGUUAUAUUUUGAAUAAUGUUCUAAAUCAUGAACCAUGGGAUUUUUUCCCCUCAGCUAGGUUUUUUUGGUUUUUGGUUUUAAAUUUAAAUGCUAGAACUAAGAGAUCUGGAAUAUCCGCAGUUAGCCAUCCAAAUUUUAGAUGUCACCUUUACACUGAGUGGAAAUUCUCAUCCCUCCUACCGCAAAAGACUUUAUGUUGGUAUCCUGCCAUCCAUUUGCCACUCUCUAAUCCAUUUCACAUGGCAACCAGAGUGACAUCUAAAAAUUCUAAUUUUUUCCUGCCACUCCCUCCUGAAGAUCUUUCAGUAGAUAAAGAUCUAAACUCUUAACAUGGCAUACAAGGUCCUGAGUUAACUGACCCUAGCUGAUGCGCAUACUGUGUGAUGCUUUGCUUCUCAUACUUCCCAACUAGCCUUUCUCUUCCUCCCACCUCAGGACCUUUGCACAUGCCUUUACAGCUUCUUUCAUUUGUUUUGCCUUCAUUCUCUGUAUAGGUAACUGCCACUCUUCCUAUGGAUCUCGCCUCAACUGGCACUGCCUCAGAGAGGCCUUCACAAACAUAAAGUAAGUUCCCCUAAAUGUGGUUAGAGUACCCUGCAGGUUUUUCUCUUGGGGAUUACCAUGGUUUAUAACUAUAUGCGAUUAUUUGGUUUGUUUGGGUGACUCCCACGAAAAGGUAAGAUCCAUGAGGGCAAGAACUGUAAGCACCUAGUGCCACAACUCGGGACCUGGUUUAGGGCACGGACUCUAAUGAGCAUUCAAUGUGAUGAAUGAAUGAAUGAACACAUGAACGAAUGAAUGUUACCUAUGGUUUACUCUGUAUCUUGAGAAAGAAAAAGUUAAGUGAUAAAGGGUCUUGAAACCAAAUUAUUUUCUCAUUCUGAGAGGUUAACAGAAUAACCACGUCAGUGUAUGGUAUGAUUUCAAGGACCUUCGCAGGUAGGCAGUGACUCUACUGUGCCAUCUUGCAGCCUCUUCUCUUAGAUAAUGUCUCAUCCAAUAAGAGAAAUGAGCAAUGAAACAUGGCCUAUCAUUAUUUCACACCACCCCAAUGAGAAGCGCUCAAUGAUGCAGUACAGGCCACAGAGGGGGACUAUCAUACGAGGAACUGGUAAGUAGGAGACUAUUAAACGAAUCCAGAAAGGCUCCUGGGGAAGAUGGCCCUUUGAGUAUUGUUUGAAGGCCUCUUGAUGACACUCCUUUAUUGAAAUAUAUUUGGUAGCAUGAGAGCCAUCAAAAUAUUUUCCCCACAAAUCCUGCACCCCAGCUUUUCUAUGUUGCUGUCACAAGAAUAGAACAAUGAACAGAGAAGAGAGCUGUCACAGAAUAGAGUUAUGAGAAAGGCUGGCAAGGCAAGGAUUAGGCAGGUACUUCAAUAAAUAUACAUAGUUUAUUGAAGUAUAGUUUAUUUACAUUGUGUUAGUUUCCGGUGUACAACGAAGUGAUUCAGUCGUGUGUGUGUGUGUGUGUGUGUGUCUGUGUGUGUGUGUGUGUGUACACCUGUCUGUAUAUGUAUAUAUACAUUCAUUUUCAGAUUCUUUUUUUUUUUUUUUGCAUUUUAGGGCCACACCUGUGGCAUAUGGAGUUUCCCAGGCUACAGGUCUAAUCAGAGCAACAGCUUCUGGCCUACACCACAGCCACAACAAUGCAGGAUCCGAGCCGCGUCUGUGACCUACACCACAGCUCAUGGCAAUGCCAGACCUUAACCCACUGAGCAAGGCCAGGGAUUGAACUUCAUGGUUCCUAGUCAGAUUCACUUCCACUGCACCACAGCGGGAACUCCCAGAUUCUUUUAUAGUUUAUUACAAGACAUUGAAUAUAGUUCUGUAUGCUAUAUAGUAGGACCUUCCCCCGGCUUCUCUUUCCCUUCUGGUAACCGUAAGUUUGUUUUCUAUGUCUUGAAUCUAUUUCUAUUUUGUAAAUAAGUUCAUUUGUAUCCUUUUUUUAGAUCACACACAUACGUGAUAUUAUAUAUUUGUCUCUCAUUGUCUGACAUACUGCACUUAGUAUGAUAAAUGGUCCAUCCAUGUUGCUGCAAAUGGCAUUAUUUCAUUUUUUAUGACUAAGUAAUAUUCCAUUGUAUAUAUGUACCACAUUUUCUUUAUCCAUUCCUCUGUCAAUGGACAUUUCAGUUGCUUCCACGUCUUAGCGAUUGUGAAUAGUGUUGCAGUGAACACUGGGGUGCACGUGUCUUUUCUAUUUAGAGUUUUCUCUGGAUAUAUGCCCAGGAGUAGGAUUGCUGGAUCAUAUGGAGAACAAGACUAAACAAUUGUGUCUCAUAUUCUCUCCAGUAUAUUUUAUUAUUUUGCAAAAUAUUCUGUGUGUCUCCAUGUGGGAGGGUUUUACAUUCGUUUAAGCCUUGGCCAUGUGAUUUCCUUUGGCAAAGGACGCAGCAGUGGAAGAGACACGUGUAGAAGCUUUGAGAGCUCUCUCUCCUUUCCCUCUAACACCAGGCCCAUCAUGGCCCAAAUGGGGCUCUAGCAAUGUGGAUUUCAAGGUGAAGAGGAUGAGGGACAGAGCCAGGAAUGACCUACAGUUAACACAUAGUGUGAGCAAAAUAUUAGCUUCUAUUCCUUUAAGGCACUAAAAUUUGAGGGUUGUUUGCUACUGCAGCACUACCUAGCAGAAGAUGACUAAUAAACUCUCCUCACAAAAACUGUCUAUAAUUCAACUCAAAGUCAGAGCUCUACACCUCAUGAAAGAAUGAUCUAUUCCCAUCUGGGUGGGUCAUCUAUCAUUUUCAUCUAAAUGCACAGCUUUAGGAAGUUACAGGUGCAGUCAUGUGGGAGAAAGUGGAAUUCUCAACCACCGGAACCCAUGGACUUUGACUUGAAAGAUGCACAAGCCAGCUUGCCUUAGAGCUCUCUACUGGAAGCCCAGGAGGACCCCGGCUUAGACACAGAGGAAAACUAACGAAAGAUUUAUGACGACUAGAUGAGGAUUCCUUUCCUGGGAAGAAAAUCAAUGAAAAAUAAAAAAAGAGCUUUAUCUGCUGAUUUAUACUAAAAAGAGUAGUCAGAACUCUCCAUGAUAUCUUUUUAAUAAUAACAUCUCACAGAAAAAUAGAAAGAAACUUACUCAACACAAAAGUCAUUUAUAAAAAUUGGAGGAAUGCCGCUGUGACUCAGCAGUAACAAACCAGACUAGUAUCCAUGAGGACUCAGGUUCGAUCCCUGGCUUCUCUCAGUGGACUAAGGAUCUGGUGUUGCUGCCAGCUGUGGUGUAGGUCACAGGCGAGGCUCAGAUCCAACCCCUAGCCUGGGAGCUUUCAUAUGCUGCAGGUGUGGCCCUAAAAA
rnacentral:lncRNA from 1 species